rnacentral:lncRNA from 1 species
ACAGUCUUAGAGUUUUACUGCUGAGAAGAGUCACCAUGACCAAGGCAACUCUUAUAAGGACAACAUUUAAUUGGGGCUGGCUUACAGGUUCAGAGGCUCAGUCUAUUACCAAGGCAGGAAGCAUGGCAGCAUCCAGGCAGUCAUGGUGCAGGAGGAGCUGAGUUCUACAUCUUCACCCGAAGGAAGCCAGGAACAGACUGAGCAUCCUCAGGCAGCUAGGAGGAGGGUCUCCAAGCCCACCCCCACAGUGACACACUUCCUCCAACAAGGCCACACCUCCUAAUAGUGCCACUCCCUGGGCUGAGCAUAGACAAACUAUAACAGAUGCCUUUUUCAGCUUGAAGACUCUAAUAGGAAAAGAAGCAAUGAGAGAUUUCCAAGCAUUCUUUCGCAUGGGCAGAGGCAG